UAGACCUGAGGUCAGGCAAGACCACCCGCUGAACUU
rnacentral:rRNA from 1 species